GAUGAACGCUGGCGGCGUGCCUAAUACAUGCAAGUCGAGCGAACAGACGAGGAGCUUGCUCCUCUGACGUUAGCGGCGGACGGGUGAGUAACACGUGGAUAACCUACCUAUAAGACUGGGAUAACUUCGGGAAACCGGAGCUAAUACCGGAUAAUAUAUUGAACCGCAUGGUUCAAUAGUGAAAGACGGUUUUGCUGUCACUUAUAGAUGGAUCCGCGCCGCAUUAGCUAGUUGGUAAGGUAACGGCUUACCAAGGCGACGAUGCGUAGCCGACCUGAGAGGGUGAUCGGCCGCACUGGAACUGAGACACGGUCCAGACUCCUACGGGAGGCAGCAGUAGGGAAUCUUCCGCAAAGGGCGAAAGCCUGACGGAGCAACGCCGCGUGAGUGAUGAAGGUCUUCGGAUCGUAAAACUCUGUUAUUAGGGAAGAACAAAUGUGUAAGUAACUAUGCACGUCUUGACGGUACCUAAUCAGAAAGCCACGGCUAACUACGUG
rnacentral:rRNA from 1 species